GCUUAUAAGAACUAAAGUUCAUAUCAGUGUUGCUGAUUUUUUAUGCAAUUUAUAUUUUUAACCUAUUCAAUUCACUAGUUGGACUUAUCAAGGGGGACAUCUCGUCAUGAUGCUCAUUUUUGAAAUUUGGUUUUAAUCCAUUGCCAGAUUUUAAAAGAAAAGUUAAUGAAAAAAAUAAAAUAAAGUGGUAGCAAAAGCUCAAAUAUUCCUAGCUAUAUGGGCCGAAUUGGCAUAAAAGAAGAGCUACAAGAAAUUCAAGAUUGGACAUAUUUCAAAAUAUUACUGGCCUUGAAAGGCUGUAAUGGUCUUUUCACAUGGAUAUUAAGUUGAUCUAUGCUUGGACUUUUU
rnacentral:lncRNA from 1 species